rnacentral:rRNA from 1 species
AUUAAUUCGAUGCAACGCGAAGAACCUUACCUGGGUUUGACAUGCACGAGACGCGUUCAGAGAUGGGCGUUCCUUCGGGUUCGUGUGCAGGUGGUGCAUGGCUGUCGUCAGCUCGUGUCGUGAGAUGUUGGGUUAAGUCCCGCAACGAGCGCAACCCUCGUCCUAUGUUGCCAGCGGGUUAUGCCGGGAACUCAUGGGAGACUGCCGGGGUCAACUCGGAGGAAGGUGGGGAUGACGUCAAGUCAUCAUGCCCCUUAUGUCCAGGGCUUCACGCAUGCUACAAUGGCUGGUACAAAGGGUUGCGAUAUCGUGAGGUGGAGCGAAUCCCAUAAAGCCAGUCUCAGUUCGGAUUGGGGUCUGCAACUCGACCCCAUGAAGUCGGAGUCGCUAGUAAUCGCAGAUCAGCAUUGCUG